UAGGGAAUCUUCGGCAAUGGGGGCAACCCUGACCGAGCAACGCCGCGUGAGUGAAGAAGGUUUUCGGAUCGUAAAGCUCUGUUGUAAGAGAAGAACGUGUGUGAGAGUGGAAAGUUCACACAGUGACGGUAACUUACCAGAAAGGGACGGCUAACUACGUGCCAGCAGCUGCGGUAAUACGUAGGUCCCGAGCGUUGUCCGGAUUUAUUGGGCGUAAAGCGAGCGCAGGCGGUUUAAUAAGUCUGAAGUUAAAGGCAGUGGCUUAACCAUUGUUCGCUUUGGAAACUGUUAAACUUGAGUGCAGAAGGGGAGAGUGGAAUUCCAUGUGUGGCGGUGAAAUGCGUAGAUAUAUGGAGGAACACCGGUGGCGAAAGCGGCUCUCUGGUCUGUAACUGACGCUGAGGCUCGAAAGCGUGGGGAGCAAGCAGG
rnacentral:rRNA from 1 species